AGGAAGGAAUGGGCAACGGUAGGUCAGCAUGCCCCGAAUUAUCUGGGCUACGCGCGGGCUACAAUGGGUGGGACAAUGGGUAUCGACACCGAAAGGUGAAGGCAAUCUCCUAAACCCAUCCGUAGUUCGGAUUGUGGGCUGCAACUCGCCCACAUGAAGCUGGAAUCUGUAGUAAUCGUGUCUCAAAAUGGCACGGUGAAUAUGUCCCUGGCUCCUU
rnacentral:rRNA from 1 species